AUGAAGCUGCUCGCAAGGAGCCACUUCUGGUGGCCAGGUCUGAACCAACAGAUAGAAAAUAUGGCAAAGAACUGUAGCGGAUGUUUGGAAACCCUUCACAUGCCUGCUCCUGUCCCAGUCCACCCAUGGGAAUGGCCCGCAGAGCCAUGGCAGAGAAUUCAUGUGGACUACGCUGGUCCCUUUGAAAAGCACAUGUUUCUGCUUAUAGUUGAUGCCCAUUCCAAAUGGCCAGAGAUGUUUUGCACUGACUCCUCCACCUCAGCUCAGACGAUAGAGUGUCUCAGAACAACGUUUGCACGCUUCGGUUUGCCGCUGCAGCUGGUAAGUGACAACGCGCAAGCUUUUGUAAGUGAUGAGUUUACAAGAUUCAUGUCAGUAAAUGGAAUCAAACACUCAACCUCAGCUCCGUACCACCCUGCCACCAAUGGGUUGGCAGAACGCUUUGUGCAAACCCUAAAGCAAGGACUCCGUGCAGCAAAACGAGACGAAGGGACUUUGCAAACAAAACUGGCCAAGUUCCUGGCCUCCUACCGAAACACUCCACAUGCCAAGACAAAUGAAAGCCCAGCCGCACUGAUGUUCGGGAGGCCUCUCCGCACACAGCUGGACAUCAUGAAGCCAAACAGGCGUAAUGAAGUGCUGAACAAACAAGCCAAGAUGCUCUCCGGGGGCCAGGAGCGCCAUCUCCAAACAGGACAGGAAGUGAUGGUGCGAGACUACAGAAGAGGAGGGAAAUGGACAAGAGGGACCGUACACACACAAACGGGACCCAGAACUUACCAGGUUCAAGUGAGCCCAGACAUAAUGUGGCGCCGUCACAUUAACCAAAUGCAUUCCACGGAAAACAGCACAACAAUCGAGAGAGAACAGGCACAGAGAGCUCCUGAGAGUGACACACAGGGAACUGUAGAGGACGGUGGGGCAGUAGAGAGACCCCAGGCUGAAAGAAGGGAUUGUGUUGAUGAAGGUGCUGCUAUAGCAGACGCUAUAAUGGAACAAGCACACACUGAGGAUGUUCAGGAGCCUCCAGACAAUCCGAGGCGCUACCCAGAACGAAGGCACCGUCCACCAGACAGACUAGACUUAUAA
rnacentral:lncRNA from 13 species